rnacentral:rRNA from 1 species
AACGAACGCUGGCGGCAGGCUUAACACAUGCAAGUCGAACGCUCGUAGCAAUACGGGAGUGGCGGACGGGUGAGUAACGCGUGGGAACGUGCCCUGAGGUACGGAAUAACUGAGGGAAACUUCAGCUAAUACCGUAUGAGCCCCGAGAGGGGGAAAGAUUUAUCGCCUUGGGAGCGGCCCGCGUCGGAUUAGCUAGUUGGUGGGGUAACGGCCUACCAAGGCUUCGAUCCGUAGCUGGUCUGAGAGGACGAUCAGCCACACUGGGACUGAGACACGGCCCAGACUCCUACGGGAGGCAGCAGUGGGGAAUCUUGCGCAAUGGGGGGCAACCCUGACGCAGCCAUGCCGCGUGAACGAUGAAGGCCUUAGGGUUGUAAAGUUCUUUUACCCGUGACGAUCAUGACGGUAACGGGGGAAUAAGCUCCGGCUAACUUCGUGCCAGCAGCCGCGGUAAU